rnacentral:rRNA from 1 species
AUUGAACGCUGGCGGCAUGCUUUACACAUGCAAGUCGAACGGUAACAGGGUGCUUGCACCGCUGACGAGUGGCGAACGGGUGAGUAAUGCGUCGGAACGUGCCGAGUAGUGGGGGAUAACGCAGCGAAAGUUGUGCUAAUACCGCAUACGUACUGAGGUAGAAAGUGGGGGACCUUCGGGCCUCGCGCUAUUGCAGCCGCCGACGUCUGAUUAGCUAGUAGGUGAGGUAAAGGCCCACCUAGGCGACGAUCAGUAGCGGGUCUGAGAGGAUGAUCCGCCACACUGGGACUGAGACACGGCCCAGACUCCUACGGGAGGCAGCAGUGGGGAAUUUUGGACAAUGGGCGAAAGCCUGAUCCAGCCAUGCCGCGUGUCUGAAGAAGGCCUUCGGGUUGUAAAGGACUUUUGUCGGGGAGGAAAUCCCCAGCGUUAAUACCGCUGGGGGAUGACAGUACCUGAAGAAUAAGCACCGGCUAACUACGUGCCAGCCGCCGCGGUAAAAC